rnacentral:rRNA from 1 species
UAUCCGCCAGGGUACUACGAGCACAGCUUAAACCCAAAGGACUUGGCGGUGCUUCAGAUCCACCUAGAGGAGCCUGUUCUAGAACCGAUAAUCCUCGUUAAACCUCACCACUUCUUGUUAAUCCCGCCUAUAUACCACCGUCGUCAGCUUACCCUGUGAAGGGAUGAUAGUAAGCAAAAUGGACACACCCCAAAACGUCAGGUCGAGGUGUAGCGCACGAAGUGGGAAGAAAUGGGCUACAUUUUCUAAUUUAUAGAAUAUUACGAACGGCACCAUGAUAAAGAUGCUCGCAGGAGGAUUUAGUAGUAAAAGUAAACAGAG